rnacentral:rRNA from 1 species
UACGGAAGGGGCAAGCGUUGUUCGGAAUCAUUGGGCGUAAAGGGCGCGUAGGUGGUUCUGUAUGUCUACCGUGAAAGCAUACAGCUCAACUGUAUUUUGUCGGUAGAAACUGCAGGACUUGAGGCUGGGAGGGGCUGGUGGAAUUCCCUGUGUAGCGGUGAAAUGCGUAGAGAUGGGGGAGAACACUCGUGGCGAAGGCGGCCUGCUGGGCUGUUGCUGACGCUGAGGCGCGACAGCGUGGGGAGCAAACAGG